rnacentral:rRNA from 1 species
UACGGGGGGGGCAAGCGUUGUUCGGAAUUACUGGGCGUAAAGGGCUCGUAGGUGGCCAACUAAGUCAGACGUGAAAUCCCCAGGCUCAACUUGGGAACUGCGUCUGAUACUGGAUGGCUUGAAUUCGGGAGAGGGAUGCGGAAUUCCAGGUGUAGCGGUGAAAUGCGUAGAUAUCUGGAGGAACACCGGUGGCGAAGGCGGCGUUCUGGACUGUAUCUGACACUGAGGAACGAAAGCCAGGGGAGCAAACGGG